CCCCCCCCCCCCCCCCCCCCCCCCCCCCCCCCCCCCCCCCUUCCUCCUCUUCCCCCAAGCUGCAUUCUCCUGCAUAUUUAAUCCCCCCUCCGCUGCAUUCGGUCGGAAGUCCCCCUACAUUCUGUCGGAAGCCAUCCACCAUGCGCCACUCCUCCCUGAGAUGUUCUGGUACUGAUCAUGUCUAACUGAAGACGUGAAUGCAAGCUUGCUGUGUCCUUAUAUGGAAGAUGUGUGCCAGUAUUGGUUUGGUCAUGAUUUUUUUGCUGGGGAGUUUGUACCAUUGUUUUGGUUGUGAAAUAUUAAGGGAGUUUGUACCAUUGUUAAAUUUUUUGGUUGUUGGGGAGUUUGUACCAUUGUUUUGGUUGUGAAUAUUUGGCGUGUUGUGGGAAAAGAGUCUCAAACUCCGUAUUGUAUAGAUGAUUGUUUGUUGUGAAUGGAAGGGGAUGAACUUUGUAUAA